UUACACAUGCAAGUCGUGCGAGAAAGUAUCUUCGGAUAUGAGUAGAGCGGCGGACGGGUGAGUAACGCGUAGGAAUCUACCUAGCAGAAGGGGAUAGCCCGGGGAAACCCGGAUUAAUACCGUAUACCUCCUUCGGGAGAAAGAAGGCCUCUCUUUGAAGCUUUCGCUAUUAGAUGAGCCUGCGUAAGAUUAGCUUGUUGGUGAGGUAAAGGCUCACCAAGGCGACGAUCUUUAGCUGGUCUGAGAGGACGAUCAGCCACAUUGGGACUGAGACACGGCCCAGACUCCUACGGGAGGCAGCAGUGGGGAAUAUUGGACAAUGGGCGCAAGCCUGAUCCAGCCAUACCGCGUGUGUGAAGAAGGCCUUCGGGUUGUAAAGCACUUUAAGCAGGGAGAAAAAGUUAUAAGUUAAUACCUUAUAACCGUGAUGUUACCUGCAGAAUAAGCACCGGCUAAUUCCGUGCCAGCAGCCGCGGUAAUACGGAAGGUGCAAGCGUUAAUCGGAAUUACUGGGCGUAAAGCGCGCG
rnacentral:rRNA from 1 species